rnacentral:rRNA from 1 species
UACGUAGGGCUAGCGUUGUCCGGAAUCAUUGGGCGUAAAGCGCGUGUAGGCGGUCCGGUAAGUCCGCUGUGAAAGUCGGGGGCUCAACCCUCGGAUGCCGGUGGAUACUGUCGGGCUUGAGGCUCGGUGAGGGGCGUGGAAUUCCGGGUGGAGCGGUGAAAUGCGUAGAGAUCCGGAGGAACACCGACGGCGUAGGCAGCGCCCUAGACGAGACCUGACGCUCAGGCACGAAAGCGCGGGGAGCGAACAGG